AACGCACCUUGCGCCCCUCGGUAUUCCGUGGAGCAUGCCCGUUUGAGUGUCACGUUGAACCUCACCCUUGUGGCUUUCCUUGACUGUCACAGGUGGUGGACUUUGGACCGUGCCGGUCGCCGGCUCGUCCUGAAAUGCAUUAGCCGGCCCUGCUUAGAGUGCCCUUGGCUAGCGGUGUGAUAAUUAUCUGCGCCGUGACCUGCCUGGGAAACCCUUCUGUUCUGUGCUGCUUCCAGUCGGACAUCUUUUAAUGCUCUGGCCUCAAAUCGGGUAGGACUACCCGCUGAACUUAA
rnacentral:misc_RNA from 1 species